CUCGUAGGCGGUUUGUCGCGUCUGCUGUGAAAUCCUGAGGCUCAACCUCGGGCUUGCAGUGGGUACGGGCAGACUAGAGUGUGGUAGGGGAGACUGGAAUUCCUGGUGUAGCGGUGGAAUGCGCAGAUAUCAGGAGGAACACCGAUGGCGAAGGCAUGGGGAGCAAACA
rnacentral:rRNA from 1 species